rnacentral:rRNA from 1 species
AUUGAACGCUGGCGGAAUGCUUUACACAUGCAAGUCGAACGGCAGCACGGGUGCUUGCACCUGGUGGCGAGUGGCGAACGGGUGAGUAAUACAUCGGAACGUGCCCAGUAAUGGGGGAUAACCAACCGAAAGGUUGGCUAAUACCGCAUACGCCCUGAGGGGGAAAGCGGGGGAUCGAAAGACCUCGCGUUAUUGGAGCGGCCGAUGGCGGAUUAGCUAGUUGGUAGGGUAAAGGCCUACCAAGGCGACGAUCCGUAGCGGGUCUGAGAGGACGACCCGCCACACUGGAACUGAGACACGGUCCAGACUCCUACGGGAGGCAGCAGUGGGGAAUUUUGGACAAUGGGGGAAACCCUGAUCCAGCCAUUCCGCGUGAGUGAAGGAGGCCUUCGGGUUGUAAAGCUCUUUCGGCAGGAACGAAACGGCCAAGGAUAAUACCUUUGGUCAAUGACGGUACCUGAAGAAGAAGCACCGGCUAACUACGUGCCAGCCGCCGCAGUAA